AUGAACGCUAGCUACAGGCUUAACACAUGCAAGUCGAGGGGCAGCAUGGUCUUAGCUUGCUAAGGCCGAUGGCGACCGGCGCACGGGUGAGUAACACGUAUCCAACCUGCCGUCUACUCUUGGACAGCCUUCUGAAAGGAAGAUUAAUACAAGAUGGCAUCAUGAGUCCGCAUGUUCACAUGAUUAAAGGUAUUCCGGUAGACGAUGGGGAUGCGUUCCAUUAGAUAGUAGGCGGGGUAACGGCCCACCUAGUCUUCGAUGGAUAGGGGUUCUGAGAGGAAGGUCCCCCACAUUGGAACUGAGACACGGUCCAAACUCCUACGGGAGGCAGCAGUGAGGAAUAUUGGUCAAUGGGCGAGAGCCUGAACCAGCCAAGUAGCGUGAAGGAUGACUGCCCUAUGGGUUGUAAACUUCUUUUAUAAAGGAAUAAAGUCGGGUAUGGAUACCCGUUUGCAUGUACUUUAUGAAUAAGGAUCGGCUAACUCCGUGCCAGCAGCCGCGGUAAUACGGAGGAUCCGAGCGUUAUCCGGAUUUAUUGGGUUUAAAGGGAGCGUAGAUGGAUGUUUAAGUCAGUUGUGAAAGUUUGCGGCUCAACCGUAAAAUUGCAGUUGAUACUGGAUAUCUUGAGUGCAGUUGAGGCAGGCGGAAUUCGUGGUGUAGCGGUGAAAUGCUUAGAUAUCACGAAGAACUCCGAUUGCGAAGGCAGCCUGCUAAGCUGCAACUGACAUUGAGGCUCGAAAGUGUGGGUAUCAAACAGGAUUAGAUACCCUGGUAGUCCACACAGUAAACGAUGAAUACUCGCUGUUUGCGAUAUACAGCAAGCGGCCAAGCGAAAGCGUUAAGUAUUCCACCUGGGGAGUACGCCGGCAACGGUGAAACUCAAAGGAAUUGACGGGGGCCCGCACAAGCGGAGGAACAUGUGGUUUAAUUCGAUGAUACGCGAGGAACCUUACCCGGGCUUAAAUUGCAGAUGAAUUACGGUGAAAGCCGUAAGCCGCAAGGCAUCUGUGAAGGUGCUGCAUGGUUGUCGUCAGCUCGUGCCGUGAGGUGUCGGCUUAAGUGCCAUAACGAGCGCAACCCUUGUUGUCAGUUACUAACAGGUUCCGCUGAGGACUCUGACAAGACUGCCAUCGUAAGAUGUGAGGAAGGUGGGGAUGACGUCAAAUCAGCACGGCCCUUACGUCCGGGGCUACACACGUGUUACAAUGGGGGGGUACAGAGGGCCGCUACCACGCGAGUGGAUGCCAAUCCCAAAAACCUCUCUCAGUUCGGACUGGAGUCUGCAACCCGACUCCACGAAGCUGGAUUCGCUAGUAAUCGCGCAUCAGCCACGGCGCGGUGAAUACGUUCCCGGGCCUUGUACACACCGCCCGUCAAGCCAUGGGAGCCGGGGGUACCUGAAGUGCGUAACCGCGAGGAGCGCCCUAGGGUAAAACUGGUGACUGGGGCU
rnacentral:rRNA from 1 species